CUCAUUAGUUUAGAUCACAUUUAGAUAUAAAAUAUAUGAAUAAUUAAGGGCGUGGUCGGCUUGAUUGACGGCUGACGUCGAGGCAUACAGCAGCAGACGUUGCCAGCUGAGUGGAAACCCUGAAACUUUGACGUCUCAGCUAUGAUUAUACACAAAGUUACCACAUUCUUUCUGAACAUCUUUAUUCAAAAAGCUGACAUAAAAUGGUUUGCUAAGCUAUUAAUUGAAGCCUACUAACCGACACUUUCAGAAGACUUCGUUCCAGUUUUUUCAGUUUCCCUGUAGGUAAUCCAGACAGGUUGGGUGCUGGAGAGGGCUCUGGACUCCUAACUUCAAUUCUCGUCUGUGCAGUCGACACUCAGAAGCAUCACUUCAGCACUGAUUCCAUGAUCUGGAACAUUUUGAAAUCCUACCAGAUGGGGCAGAAGUCAUUGAGCAGUGGCAGCUUC